AUGACCUACAAUCAUUGGCCCUGUGAUGAAAAUCCCUUGGUUCUUGGUUUUGUCCCUCAGCUUUGGAAGCUCAGCCUUGCUAAUGCAAACCUUUCAGGCAAGAUCCUCAACUUAAGCAAGCUGCUUGCUAAUGCCCCCACAGUAAGCGAUUUGUAUCUGGACUUUUUAAGCGAAAAGAUUUGGGUUCAACCAGAAUGCCCAAAAGUGCUUGCUCCUGUGCUUGCCAAACUUCGAUUUCUGAAUCUGGAUCACCACCCUGAAGAAUGUGAUAUCUCUUGGACAAUGUUCGUUCUUGAAGCUGCACCACACAUAGAGGAGCUCUGCAUCACGGUAUGGGACCAUAAGUGCCGAAUGGAGUCACAGAAGAGUUUCUCCGAAAUAUCGGAUGUGAAGUGGGAGCCAUCUGAUCCUCAUUUUAAGCACAAGAAUCUGGCGAGGCUAAUUAUCUAUGGCUUUCAGUCCGAUGGCAAUUUCACAGGAUACAUCAGGUGUGUCAUUCAAGCUGCGGUGAACAUCAGGGAGGUAUCCCUGCACGACAGGAAGGUGUGUGAAUUUUGUGCCGAGAAGUUUCCUCACAUGGAGGUUCGUCCUUCGAGUUAUCCACGGACCACCGAGGAGGUGGAAUUGUUGAGGAAGAAGAUGACAGCAGCGUCAGCGUCAACUUCUCCUGAUAUUCUGUUCCACUCAUAA
rnacentral:rRNA from 1 species